CAGCCGCCGCGGUAAUACGGAGGGCGCGAGCGUUGUCCGGAUUCACUGGGCGUAAAGCGUCCGUAGCCGGGUUGGGAAGUCCUCCGGGAAAUCUGGCCGCUUAACGGUCAGAAUGCCGGAGGAUACUCCCAGCCUAGGGAGCGGGAGAGGCCGAGGGUAUUCCCGGAGUAGGGGUGAAAUCCUAUAAUCCCGGGAGGACCACCUGUGGCGAAGGCGCUCGGCUGGAACGCGUCCGACGGUGAGGGACGAAGGCCAGGGGAGCAAACCGGAUUAGAUACCCGGGUAGUCCUGGCUGUAAACGAUGCGGACUUUGUGUCGGACAAGCUAUGAGCUUGUCCGGUGCCGGAGGGAAACCGUUAAGUCCGCCGCCUGGGGAGUACGGCCGCAAGGCUGAAACUUGAAGGAAUUGGCGGG
rnacentral:rRNA from 1 species